rnacentral:lncRNA from 1 species
AUGCCUUCGACUCCACAGCAGCCCUCUGGGCACACGGUGGGACUCCCUGCGGCAGAGCUGGGGUCGUGGCCCCCACUGGCCUGCGGGCCAUGCAUCCCCAUCAUGCUGGCCCUGGCCUCCCUCGCCGCGCUCUUCCUCCUAACGACAGCCGUGUUGGCCGAACGCCUGUUCCGCCGCUCUCAGCACCCGGACCCCAGCAACCACGCACCCACCCUGGUCUGGCGCCCGGGAGGAGAACUGUGGAUCGAGCCCCGGGGCACCCCCCGAGAGCGCUCAGAAGACUGAUGCUGAGACUGGAGAGCGGGGGUCCCGUGGAUGCGGAAGAACAGGCUGAAUGUGGGUGUCGAGGGUCAGUCCCGCCAGCAGGAGAGGACAGGAAGCCAGCCUCCCAGAGCCACAGAUAUGCCUCCAGGAAAACACACACAGAGGUCAAGACCAGGCAGAAGAUCCUCUUAUUACAUCUCACCUGUGGCUUUGACCCCCAACUCGCAACACGGAACUUGGUCAGACAAACUGGAGAGGCCCCUUCCUUGCCUACAGCUGGGACCUCUCGUUAACGGAGAUCAGCAGACAGCCCUGCGACUGCCAGCCGAGGAGAUGUGAGUUCGAUCCAACGUGGAAAGGAAAACCGUGCCAGGGUAGAGAGCCGCUCCUAAUAUGCGGCCUCUGGCCACCCUUCCUCCCAGCUUGCUGGAUCGGUCAGGAGAGACGGAUGGGCCCCAAGGCAGGCUUAUUUAUAACGCUCCACCCUGGAGAAAUGGAGCUCAGAGAUGUCCUUGGCUCUACAGCCGUCUGUCCGAGCAGACCUCCACUCUGGGAGACGAACCAGGAGCUGGGGAGAGGGGAAGGAGUCUCCAUUCCCAGGGGUCAGACUUCCCCAACUUCAGUCGUGAAUGUUAGGAUUUUUGCCGUUGCCACUUUACCGCCGGUACUAUUAUUUACUUCAUGUUUUUCUUUAAGAUGAUUUACUAUUUGCUUAAUAAAUUUAUUUGAAAAGGAACCUUUUUUGUAUCA